GGUUAUGGUGGAUUGAGAUUCUAGAACACAGUAUUCAUUACAAUGGGAAGGUUAUGGUGGAUUGAGAUUCUAGAACACAGUAUUCAUUACAAUGGGAAGGUUAUGGUGGAUUGAGAUUCUAGAACACAGUAUUCAUUACAAUGGGAAGGUUAUGGUGGAUUGAGAUUCUAGAACACAGUAGACAGUAUUCAUUACAAUGGGAAGGUUAUGGUGGAUUGAGAUUCUAGAACACAGUAGACAGAGUAUUCAUUACAAUGGGAAGGUUAUGGUGGAUUGAGAUUCUAGAACACAGUAGACAAGAGUAUUCUUUACAAUGGGAAGGUUAUGGUGGAUUGAGAUUCUAGAACACAGUAGACAGUAUUCAUUACAAUGGGAAGGUUAUGGUGGAUUGAGAUUCUAGAACACAGUAGACAUAGUAUUCAUUACAAUGGGAAGGUUAUGGUGGAUUGAGAUUCUAGAACACAGUAGACAUAGUAUUCAUUACAAUGGGAAGGUUAUGGUGGAUUGAGAUUCUAGAACACAGUAGACAGUAUUCAUUACAAUGGGAAGGUUAUGGUGGAUUGAGAUUCUAGAACACAGUAUUCAUUACAAUGGGAAGGUUAUGGUGGAUUGAGAUUCUAGAACACAGUAUUCAUUACAAUGGGAAGGUUAUGGUGGAUUGAGAUUCUAGAACACAGUAUUCAUUACAAUGGGAAGGUUAUGGUGGAUUGAGAUUCUAGAACACAGUAGACAGUAUUCAUUACAAUGGGAAGGUUAUGGUGGAUUGAGAUUCUAGAACACAGUAGACAGUAUUCUUUACAAUGGGAAGGUUAUGGCAGAUUGAGAUUCUAGAACACAGUAGACAGUAUUCAUUACAAUGGGAAGGUUAUGGUGGAUUAAGAUUCUAGAACACAGUAUUCUUUACAAUGGGAAGGUUAUGGUGGAUUGAGAUUCUAGAACACAGUAUUCAUUACAAUGGGAAGGUUAUGGUGGAUUGAGAUUCUAGAACACAGUAGACAGUAUUCAUUACAAUGGGAAGGUUAUGGUGGAUUGAGAUUCUAGAACACAGUAUUCAUUACAAUGGGAAGGUUAUGGUGGAUUGAGAUUCUAGAACACAGUAUUCAUUACAAUGGGAAGGUUAUGGUGGAUUGAGAUUCUAGAACACAGUAGACAGUAUUCAUUACAAUGGGAAGGUUAUGGUGGAUUGAGAUUCUAGAACACAGUAGACAGUAUUCUUUACAAUGGGAAGGUUAUGGCAGAUUGAGAUUCUAGAACACAGUAGACAGUAUUCAUUACAAUGGGAAGGUUAUGGUGGAUUGAGAUUCUAGAACACAGUAGACAGUAUUCAUUACAAUGGGAAGGUUAUGGUGGAUUGAGAUUCUAGAACACAGUAGACAGUAUUCUUUACAAUGGGAAGGUUAUGGCAGAUUGAGAUUCUAGAACACAGUAGACAGUAUUCAUUACAAUGGGAAGGUUAUGGUGGAUUAAGAUUCUAGAACACAGUAUUCUUUACAAUGGGAAGGUUAUGGUGGAUUGAGAUUCUAGAACACAGUAGACAGUAUUCAUGACAAUUUGAAGGUUAUGGUGGAUUGAGAUUCUAGAACACAGUAGACAGUAUUCAUUACAAUGGGAAGGUUAUGGUGGAUUGAGAUUCUAGAACACAGUAGACAGAGUAUUCAUUACAAUGGGAAGGUUAUGGUGGAUUGAGAUUCUAGAACACAGUAUUCAUUACAAUGGGAAGGUUAUGGUGGAUUGAGAUUCUAGAACACAGUAGACAGCAUUCAUUACAAUGGGAAGGUUAUGGUGGAUUGAGAUUCUAGAACACAGUAGACAGAGUAUUCAUUACAAUGGGAAGGUUAUGGUGGAUUGAGAUUCUAGAACACAGUAUUCAUUACAAUGGGAAGGUUAUGGUGGAUUGAGAUUCUAGAACACAGACAGUAUUCAUGACAAUGGGAAGGUUAUGGUGGAGUGAGAUUCUAGAACACAGUAGACAGUAUUCAUGACAAUGGGAAGGUUAUGGCAGAUUGAGAUUCUAGAACACAGUAGAUAGAGUAUUCAUGACAAUGGGAAGGCUAUGGUGGAUUGAGAUUCUAGAACACAGUAGACAGUAUUCAUGACAAUGGGAAGGUUAUGGUGGAUUAAGAUUCUAGAACACAGUAUUCAUUACAAUGGGAAGGUUAUGGUGGAUUGAGAUUCUAGAACACAGUAGACAGUAUUCAUGACAAUGGGAAGGUUAUGGUGGAUUGAGAUUCUAGAACACAGUAGACAGUAUUCAUUACAAUGGGAAGGUUAUGGUGGAUUGAGAUUCUAGAACACAGUAUUCAUGACAAUGGGAAGGUUAUGGUGGAUUAAGAUUCUAGAACACAGUAUUCAUUACAAUGGGAAGGUUAUGGUGGAUUGAGAUUCUAGAACACAGUAGACAGUAUUCAUUACAAUGGGAAGGUUAUGGUGGAUUGAGAUUCUAGAACACAGUAGACAGUAUUCAUUACAAUGUGAAGGUUAUGGUGGAUUGAGAUUCUAGAACACAGUAGAGAGACAUAGUGAGAAUGGAUGGAAUUAUAGACAGAAAGAGCGAGAGAAACAGAUGAGAUUCUAGAACAGAAAGAUAUCACUGAUAAAGAGUUCAGUUCAAAACCAUGAGAGACAGGUUGUAAUGGAUAACGUGAGACUGGAUAACUUAGAAAGACUGGCGUUUACGUAGAUGUCGGUUUGUCUCAUUCUAAGAGAAAUAUACCACAUCAGGAUGAAAUACAGG